UGGAUUCGCAUGCCACGGCGGGCUCCCUGCCACUGUGCAGCCAACCGCCGUCGUUGCAGCCCCCUUCACUCGUGCUCCAAGCACUCGGAGCCUCCCGCGUUGCCUGUACAACAUACCCGGUUCUCGGGCAAGUGACUUCGUCCAACAUGCUCGUCCGCUCCCCUCGCCUUCGUGCGGGCGCGGAGCGGCAAUGUCGGCNGUCCUCGUGCUCCCUCGGACGGACGACGGCACGGCUUUGGCCCCUCGUCUCGUCUCGAUCGGCCCUCGAGGAUUCGCCAGCGCUCGCGAACACGGUAGACAAUGUUGGCUCGGGGCUUUCGUAGCCCCCGCACCAUGAUCGGUCGGCUCACUUCGCCGCCCUCGACGAGACGACCGUCGGGCCCGUCGUCCCCCCACCACUCGCC
rnacentral:misc_RNA from 1 species